rnacentral:misc_RNA from 1 species
GAUGAAGAACGUAGUGAAAUGCGAUACUUGGUGUGAAUUGCAGAAUCCCGUGCACCAUCGAGUCUUUGAACGCAAGUUGCGCCCGAAGCCAUUAGGCCGAGGGCACGCCUGCCUGGGCGUCACACGUCGUUGCCCCCCCAUCUACUCCUUCGGGAUUGCGGGGGGCGGAUGAUGGCCUCCCGUGCGCCUCGUCGCGCGGUUGGCAUAAAUGCCAAGUCCUCGGCGACGCACGCCACGACAAUCGGUGGUUGCGAAACCUCGGUUGCCCGUCGUGUGCGGUCGUCGCGCAUCGAGGGCUCGAAAAAAUUGCCGGGCUCCGGCUCGGCUUUCAACGCGACCCCAGGUCAGGCGGGGUUACCCGCUGAAUUUAAGCAUAUCAAUAAGCGGAGGA